rnacentral:lncRNA from 1 species
AAAAUUGAUAUAAGGGAAUGAUAUAAAUUUUGAUCAAUUGAAAAGUGACAUGUGAAAGAAAGAAAUGUUCUUAGUGGCUCUAAGAUUGGGGAAUAUGUUAAUUACAAAAGAAAAUCAUUUCAUUAAACUGAAAAAUAUUUUUGUUUAAAGGGUAAUUUAGAUUGAUCGAUGACAAUGAAUAAUAAUUAAUACGUAAUUGAUUUUUUUUUUAG